rnacentral:rRNA from 1 species
UACGUAGGGUGCAAGCGUUGUCCGGAAUCAUUGGGCGUAAAGAGCGUGUAGGCGGCCAGACAGGUCAGCUGUGAAAACUCGAGGCUCAACCUCGAGACGUCGGUUGAAACCGUCUGGCUAGAGUCCGGAAGAGGAGAGUGGAAUUCCCGGUGUAGCGGUGAAAUGCGCAGAUAUCGGGAAGAACACCCGUGGCGAAGGCGGCUCUCUGGGACGGUACUGACGCUGAGACGCGAAAGCGUGGGGAGCGAACAGG